AGCGAACGCUGGCGGCAGGCCUAACACAUGCAAGUCGAACGAACCCUUCGGGGUUAGUGGCGGACGGGUGAGUAACACGUGGGAACGUGCCUUUAGGUUCGGAAUAACUCAGGGAAACUUGUGCUAAUACCGAAUGUGCCCUUCGGGGGAAAGAUUUAUCGCCUUUAGAGCGGCCCGCGUCUGAUUAGCUAGUUGGUGAGGUAAUGGCUCACCAAGGCUACGAUCAGUAGCUGGUCUGAGAGGAUGACCAGCCACAUUGGGACUGAGACACGGCCCAAACUCCUACGGGAGGCAGCAGUGGGGAAUUUUGCGCAAUGGGCGAAAGCCUGACGCAGCCAUGCCGCGUGGAUGAUGAAGGUCUUAGGAUUGUAAAAUCCUUUCACCGGUGAAGAUAAUGACUGUAGCCGGAGAAGAAGCCCCGGCUAACUUUGUGCCAGCAGCCGCUGUAACAC
rnacentral:rRNA from 1 species